CGAUGAUACGUUAAAAGUGGAUGAUGUGACGCGACGUGGGAUAUAAAGCGGUAUCAUAACUAUUGUGACUAACAAAGGGUGUUUUUUAAGAGUUUGCCCUGCGUUCUGAACUAAUGGAACGCGAUCGUGGUGUUUGUAAGAAAACCCUCCACUAGUGAAAGUACGAGUGUAGCCCAAGCUUGCCGUCCAUCUGACAUUGCAUCAACCAUAAACUCGAUUCACUUUGUGCUUACACCAAAUAAAAAUAGGAAGUCCAAACGCCCCUCACAUCGUGGAAACAACACAGAUAAAAUAUGGAUAUUUUACUGUGGGGAAUUCUCCUAGAGCCUUGGAAUGUUUUGCAAUAGGUAACCUAUACGCAGGGCGGUAAGAGAAAGUGAAUUGGAAAAAGAAUGCUUGUCAACAAGGAUGAACACAAAAGGGGAAGAAAGAAAAAAUACUAUGAGAGAAAUUGAUGGAAGAUUAUACAAAUGCGGCGGCAACAGACGGUGAAAGUCGAAAGCUCACGAGAAAACGUAGGUACAAGGAGCUGAGAGGGACCGGACUAUGUUUUUCACGCUCUGGGCUAUAUUUUGACAAAAAUUAUCCACUCAUCUAAAUUGAAAAUAAUAAAAACAAAUAUAAUUUAGCACAUCUAGCCGCCGGCGCCGUCCCCCCUCCGAAAGUGGCACUCUGGACUAUAUCCCAGUUAGCCCAUUAUAAACCCGGGACCU